AGCGAACGUUUGCGGCGGGCUUAACACAUGCAAGUCGAACGGGCUGUUCCUUCGGGGGCAGUCAGUGGCGCACGGGUGCGUAACACGUAGGUAAUCAACCCUCUGGUUGGGGAUAACACUUCGAAAGGAGUGCUAAUACCCGGUAUGGCGCAGCGGUCUUCGGAUCGCGGCGAGAAAGACCCGCAAGGGUUGCCAGAGGACGAGCCUGCGGCCCAUCAGCUAGUUGGCGAGGUAACGGCUCACCAAGGUGAAGACGGGUAGCUGGUCUGAGAGGAUGAUCAGCCACACUGGAACUGAGACACGGUCCAGACUCCUACGGGAGGCAGCAGUGGGGAAUAUUGCGCAAUGGGCGAAAGCCUGACGCAGCCACGCCGCGUGAGCGAUGAAGGCCUCGGUCGUAAAGCUCUGUGGGAGGAGAAGAAUAAAGCCUGUGAAGAGCAGGCCUGUACGGUAUCUCCUUAGCAAGCACCGGCUAAC
rnacentral:rRNA from 1 species